rnacentral:lncRNA from 1 species
AGCAUGCCUGCCAUGUAGCAUGCUUCACUCUAUAACGUGAGCUGUUCAGUAUGUAUUAACAGUCCUUUCUACCUCGCCGUUUUUGAUAGAUAUAACAUUAGCCAUCGAGAACAAAAGUUUUGCUACUUUUCUCAAAACAUUGAUUCCAUGAAUUUAGCAGGCGCUAUCAACAGAUCAGCUGGAAAAAGUGAUGGGCUUCUUUCUGCACACGCCACAGUCAGUGUGAACCAGAGUGACUUGACACAAUGCUGGUCAAACAAGAUGUAGUUACAAACAAAACAGAGUUAAAUAGUUCCAAUCUGCCGUGAAGCGAUCAUCCAUGUAUACGGUGCAGUUCAGAUGGAGCACGGGGGCAUCCAUGAGGUCAGACAACCUGCUCAGUGAGGGGACAGACUCAGCCUGGUGAUAACGGGAGAAGUCCACUACUAAAGGAAGCAUAUUCAUCCUACUGAAACUACAGCCAUAGUACGCACCAGAAAAAUACCCAGUUCUCAUUACUUUCUCACAGUCAGA